rnacentral:lncRNA from 1 species
GCUGAGAUGAAAAUUUCAAGGGUUAAAGGAAAGAGUGCAGUGGAAUGUUAGUUUGGUAGUAAAGCAUGAGGUUAGAGAACUAAGAAUACGAUGAGUGAAGAACGGAGAAGAAAAGUUUUAGAGAAGAUGACAAAGAGUGGUUAUAGUAUAAGUUGCUUAAGAAGGUAUCGUGAAUGAUCAAAGAAUUGAGAUUGAUUGAGACGAUCAAAGUUUUUGAAUCUGCAUGAUGUGGUACAAUUCAUUUUCUUCAGGUGUGGUUUUAGGGUGAUGUUCAGUGAACGGUUGAGUUGGGUCAAGAGAGAAGUGAAUAGUGGAUGUUGAGUUAUAAAAGGUAGUGAAGUGGUGAUUUUAGAUAGGGUUAAAAAAUUAAUGUUGCGGGUUAAAGGUAUUUUGGGAUUUAGAAGAUUUCAGGUAGGGUUUGUAUUUCGAUGAUUCUAAGUUGAAAAGAGUAGUUAUUGAAAAAGGUUUUAAGUUGAGUUGUCAAUGAUGGUACCUGAAGAAUUCUAAGUGAUGUGACGGGUGUGGAAUCAAUAUAAGAGUUCAGAAUUGAGGUUUAUAGAAUAUGAUUUCUUGGCCAGGAAGGAAAGCAAGGGCGAUGCCUAAGGUGUAGUUGAGAGAAAGGUGUAUAGCAAGUGUCAUGGGGAUUCAGUGUGUAUGCUGAAGCAAGCAAAGAUGGUGUGGUAUUGUUAUUUCGUAAGUUUGAGGUGUGAUUCAAGGGAGGUUUGUUUGUUUUCAAAUCGUUUAUGGAGGUUGUGGCCUUCAAAAGAGGUAUUGUACUUUAAGAAGAAGAACAAAUGGUUAUGUAUCAGAAAUGGAUUUAGUUAUAAUGUGAAGUCAAAGGGGUUAUGAAAGUUCGAAGAAGUUAACAAGGAUAAGCAGAGAAGAGAAGAUGAAUCUCUAUGGCGUAAGGGUUUUGGUUGGUGUUCUAACUAGUAUUGAGUUUUUCAUAACUUGGAGAAGUGGAAUUCACUUUGGAGUAGGGUCUUAGGCAGCACCGAUGCCAGUAAUCUUUUAUGGUUGGAUCCUGCCGAAGUGGUGUAGUGCAAGAGGAAGAUGGAAGUUGGGUUAAAGUAGUAGUGUUUGGACUCAGUGGAAUCAUAAGGAGAACUACAAGGUUGAAGAAUCUCAGAAGAGAAUUAGAGGACAAGUUGGAACAGUCUAGUAUAAGUCUUGGCAAUUAGAAGUGAUUUUGGGCAUGUUCAAUUGUGGAGUAGAAAACAGGGUUGAGGGAGAUGGAAUGACAAAACUAUCAAGUAAGAAAAGAGUUAUCGGGGGUUUUGCAAAGUGAUGGAAAUUAUGAGGAAGGUUCUUCAAGGGCGAUCAUUUUCGGGUUACAAUUGUCAUGAAAGAGUAUUCUUUGAGUCAACUAGUGAGCAAGUGAGUUUGAGGAUCAGAGUAGCGCAGCGGAUGAUGGUGAGCAUGUUAGUAUUAGUAAUAUGUGUGCAUGAAGAGCUUUCAUAAUCGUAGAUUGGUGGUUUGUGAGGGACAAGUUAUUUGAAACAAUAUUGGUGCUAUUAUAUGAGAAUGAGUUGGGAGUUUUUGGUAAUUUUCAAGAGUCAUAAGUGAGUUCAAGUAUGGAAGAAAUAGGUAUCAGGCAGAGAAUAUAAGUGAGUCUACGAUUUCAAGCUACAAAGUCAACUUUAAAGUGAGGAAGUAUUAAUGGAUGUGGAACAUGAAGAGUGAGUCAUGGGUGAAGAUAGAAUCUCAGAGACAAAAUGGAAAUGGAAUAGCUUUACCUUGGACUUCGUCAUUUGUUUGCCGCUCGGUCAAGAGGUCAGGUUGUUAUUGGAAUAAAGUGGUCGGGUUGACAAGAGUGGUUACGGUAUUGUCAUCGGUUUGAGAAGCCAGCAUCAGGAUUGGUUCAACUCUACAUCAAAGGAGUGGUUCAAUUGCUUGGAGUGUCGUCUCACAACAUUUCAGACAGAGAUUCCAGGUUCGUCUCUCGGGUUUUGGCAAUCAUGGCAGAACGAGCGGGACAACCAGUUGGAGUUUUAAUCAGCUUAGUCAUUACCAGACAAACGAUCUAGUCUCUACUCAAUCUUAAAUCUAAAAUAUCUUAUACACCUUCUUUGACCUACUCGCCAAUAAAUUAUACUCUCUUCCCUAAACAGUUAACGAACUUUUUCACCAUUUUAUUAUUAUUUACUAAGCAAAAUUUUGUCUUUACUAUUAACCCUCCGCCGUCCGGUAUUAAUAUUAUCGUUCGGUCUUCUCUUCAGCUUUUUGGUCUCUUUGUUUAAACAUUUCCAUUCGGUCAUUUACUUCAGAAUUUUCAUUCAAACCCACAGUCACCCAUCAUCAUAUCCCCACU